UGUGCGUCACAUCCGGUGGAAUAUUCUAGCGGAUUCUUCUGUUGGACUUUAAAAGCAGGCGCGCAGAGACGCAGACUGAGAUGCUUUUUUACAGCAUCAUCUUUAGGUCCUUCCAGCUGCUGUGCUGUGGGCAGACUGACGCAGAGAGAAUCAUGAUUCUGCUGACUCCAUCCUCUGGUUUCUUCCAGCGUACCAAUAAGCUAUUUCUAAGCGAGCAGGCCACGGGUGUCCAGCUCAAGGAGUUUGUACGCAAAAAUGCAGCCAAUGCUCUGUCUAUGGCCAACAUGCUCAUGGGCAUGGCUUCUAUUCUCUGCAGCCUGAACGGCCACCAACAUGCAGCCUGCUGGCUGGUUCUGAUUGGCUACCUGCUGGAUUUGGCAGAUGGGGCAGUUGCCAGGCGACUUGAUGCAUGCUCACCACUAGGUGCUAAACUGGAUGAUUUUGCAGAUUUCACAACCUUUGGGAUUGCAACAUCAUUGCUCCUGAGGACACAUGCCUUAAUGGACAACAUCCUGUGCAUGUGCUACGUCCUGUCUGUGUUCGUCCGCCUCUGCUUCUUCUCCAGCGGCAUCCCCUUCAUGUACCGUGGCCUGCCAUGUAUCUACUCUUCUGCCAUCCUGGCCUGUCUCUCCCUGCUGACCGGAGGUAACAUGGUGAUCCUGCGGGUCACUGCUGUGGCCAUGAUCCUCUUCAUGGUCAACCAGGGCUUCUACCCUCACGACAGGGUCCUGGAGUCACAGGCCUGGAAGAAGGUGGUCUACGCUGGAGAGCGCCUCAGACAGAGACUUUACUGGAAGCCUAUGGCAGGAGCGGAUGAUCUCUGUCCACCACCAUCUAGCGCAACCCGUAGAACCUUCCCCUAAGUGUGCUGCAUCCAGGAGCCAGUAUUGUUUCUGUGUGCAACAAAGAGAACCCUCUGAAUCAGAACUCGGAGUUGUCAUGGUGUUCUGUUCCUCUUUCUCUCCGGCAUGUGUGUACUACCUGUUGUGGUCUGUCUCCUACAUUUUGUUCCCAACAUCUCUUUGGAGUUGCAAAGUGUAGUAGGAGUUAAAGGCCUUGCUCCAAACUCACACAUGGCUUGUCAACAGGCCGUCCGGCGGGGUUAACUAAAGCUCCCAGACUGCUGCUGCUAGCUAUCCACAGCGGAUGGAAAAAGGACGUAAGAGGACGUUUUAAUGUUUUUGUAAGAUUUAACUGCCUUUUUCAUCAUGACCACUUGAUGGAUAAUGUAAUGUACCUUAGCCAUUUUGUUUUUGAUUAAUACAGUGUUUGAAUGUCUAGUUAUGUUUUUACAAUACAAUGGCAGAAUUGUACUGUACUGUCUUGUGUGUACUGUGUGCAUAAUUGUGCUUGAGAUUACUCCAACUAUUAUGAAGUAUUUUCAGUAAUGAAUAGUCAUUUGAGACUUACUGUAAACAUGGUAGAUUCAAACUUAUUGCAUGCUCCCAAUUUGUAAUACAUAUUUAAUUCAAAAUAUUUUAUUUUCAUCAUAUUGCAGAUACAAAAGAAGUCCAUUGUAUAAUUAAGCAAUAAGGCCAGAGGAGGUGUGGUAUAUGGCCAAUAUACCAUUGCUAAGAUCUGUUCUUAUGCACGAUGCAACACAGAGUGCCUGGAUACAGCCAUUAGCCAUGGUAUAUUGGCCAUAUACCACAAACCCGCAAGGUGCCUUAUUGCUAUUAUAAACUGGUUACCAAUGUAAUUAGAAGAGUAAAAAGUAAUUUUGUCAUACCCAUGGAAUACUUAAGUGAUAAUGUCCGAGAAGCCGGUGUUUGCAGGAUAUAUUGGCACGGGCGUUAGGCCCGAGACAAAGUCGUGGGGCCGGCAGACCAUGCCAAUUUAUCCUCCAAACACCAGCUUCUUGGGCAUUGUAUACAGCGGGUUACCAACAUAUUCAAAUAAUGAUUUACAGAUUUUCAUAAAUUAUAUUUUGGUGACUUUAUUCAUUCCAUUUAACCCUUCCACGAGAUAUAUAUAUAUAUAUAUCUAGUGUUGCUACCCAAGCCGGCUGGUCAUUCGUUCUAUCGGUUAGGUUGCCAGAGACGCGACCCAGUCGUUCGUUCUAAAUGUUCCAUUGCCAUACUGGCUGGCAACGUUCUAAUCCCUUGCUUGCUAGCCAACUACAGCUAAUUUACAGUCACGUAUAACAGUGCAGACAGAAUAACAACAAAGUAGCUUCAUUUUCAUUUGUUUUAAGCUGUUUUUUAGUGACAUUUAAUUUCACCUGGCAUAGAAAAUGUGUUCAGAUGAGCUAGCCAACAACACAGCUAACACAAUCACUUCAAACUCGAGCUGGAAAGACUGCAAACUAGCUGCACUUUGUUUCGUUUGACCAGUUUUCUAUUGAUAUUUCUUCAUAUAUCCAUAAAAAUGAUGCUGAUUCAUUUUGACUGGCUGAGAAAAGCUGACUGCCUGUCUCUUCCCGACACCUUCAUUACUAUGGGACAGCUGGAGAUCGAAUUUGAAUAUUGAAACAAUGUUGCAAAUUUCGGAGACAGACAAGCAAGGUUUAUACAAAUCUCCGCUGUUAAACUAAAUGUUAGUCUAAAAGAAAUGUGAGAUAAACUUGAUCUCUACAAAAAGCAUUAACUUCCCUGCCAGGUCUGAUGAGACAGCAGUGGUGGAAAAAGUACCCAAUUUUCAUACUUGAGUAAAAGUAAAGAUACCUUUUUAAUAGAAAAUUCCUCAAGUGAAAGUCACCCAGUAAAAUACUACUUGAGUAAAAGUAUUUGUGUUUAAGCCCAGGCUCUGUUGCAGCCGGCCGCGACCGGGAGGUCCAUGGAGCGACGCACAAUUGGCCUAGCGUCCGGGCUAGGGAGGGUUUGGCCGGUAGGGAUAUCCUUGUCUCAUCGCGCACUAGCGAGUCCUGUGGCGGGCCGCGCGCAAUGCACGCUGACCAGGUCGCUAGGUGUACGGUGUUUCCUCCGACACAUUGGUGCGGCUGGCUUCCUGGUUGAAUGCGCGCUGUGUUAAGAAGCAGUGCGGCUUGGUUGGGUUGUGUUUCGGAGGACGCAUGGCUCUCGACCUUCGUCUCUCCCGAGCCCGUACGGGAGUUGUAGCGAUGAGACAAGAUAGUAGCUACUAACAAUUUGAUACCACGAAAUUGGGGUGAAAAAGGGGAAAGAAAAAAAAAGUAUUUGUUUAAAUAUACUUGAAUAUCUAAAGUAUAAAUCAUAUCAAAUUGCUCAUGCAUUUAUUUUAAUUUUACGGAUAGCCAGGGGCACACUCUAACACUCAGACAUAAUUUACAAACGAAGCAUAUGUGUUUAGUGUGUCCGCCAGAUCAGAGGCAGUAGGGAUGUUCUCUUGAUAAGUGUGUCAAUUUGACCAUUUUCCAGUCCUGCUAAGCAUUCAAAAUAAGUACUUUUGAGUGUCAGGGAAAAGUACUUUUCAUUCCAUACAUUAUUUUAUUUAGAAAUGCAGUAAAGUGAAAGUUGUCCAAUAGUAAAGUACAGAUUCCCCCAAAAAACAACUGAAGUUAAAAAUACUUUAAAGUACUACUUAAGUACUUAACACCACUGGAAUAGAGUAAAUAGGCAUUUUAACAUCAGAUUUAGCAGGUGGUAACUUGUGGAAUAGACACAGGCUGGAAUGGGGUUUUAACCAAUCGGCGUCCAGGAUUAGACCCACCUGUUGUAUAAGGUCUGAUAUACCAUGGCUUUCAGCAUUUUAGGGCUCAAACCACCCGGUUUGUUUUUUAAAUGAUGGUCGACAGACUCUGGUUCAUAUCUUCUGUUCUACUUAACUCUACCCCAGUGAUUGUACAUAAUACAUUGUGUGUGCAUAUGGGAUUGUUAAAUAUUUUGUUUUUUAUUUUAACUUCAAAAACCAAGUUUGUUUUUGAGCAUCAAACUGCAUUCUUUAAUCUAAAUUUGUCCCUUUUUUUUUGUCCUCCUACUAUUGCGACGAGAGAUUAGUUUCAUUUCAUUGGAGGCAAAAUGUAUUAGUGCUUACGUUCCCACCAGAUAUUUGAAUCACUAGAAUUACAGUGCUAUUUUAAAAAGAUGUCACGGGCUAGCUAUGGUGAAUACAAUAUUGAGCAUCCAUGUAAGAUAACUGGUUCUCUUGUUUAACUCAAAAACACAUGAGCAGAUUUUUAUUCUAAGUAAGGGUUUGACAUCUUUCAAUUUGAUUUACACGAGUGGUUAGGUUUUUAUCUCCUGUGAACGUAGCUUUUUAUUUGGUAUUUGUGCACCUCUGCUUCUGUUUUAGGAGGCUUUGCACUUUCAGUAGUACCAAAAAAAUUGCUUUUUACCCAAGGUAUAUUGAUGAAUGUAUUUUUUUUUCCCAUAACACUAGUGCCGGCCCGAACUGUGCUGGCUUGGAUAAUUUCCUUUCCUGCUGUCCUUUCCAGCACUGUUCCAGUAACUGGUUUAUGUGUAACUAGUCCUGCUCAUCUUGGCUUGGUUCGGCUCCGCUCAGUAGUGUGAAAAUAUCUAGAUAUUCCUGUUCUUGAUCCAGUCGGUCGAGCAAGGACUUAUUCCAUUUCCGCAUGACUGGGUGUGUUAUGAAAAUGGCGGUUUGUGCCUCGCUUUAGGAUUUUAGAUGUGUGUGUGAGUGAUGGAGACAAUGUGACGAGUUUGUUUUGAAAUGUCUUGAGACUGACAACAGCAACUCUACAGUACACCUAUAAAUGUCACCUCCACGUGGUCCAAACUGCUGGUUUGUUAACAUCAUGGUCAAUGACAAGCAAUUUUAUGAACAAAAUCAACAGCGUAGAGGGAGUGAAGUACACUUAAAGGCCAAUUUUGCGUAGCAUGAUCAGUGACUUCAACUGUAUGACCACAAUACAUGCCUCAUUACUACAGUUCAAUGCACAAGAGUGAUACUCACCCAAUUAUAAACCAGUAAUCGUCUUAUGAAGAUCUGUAUUUUUUAUUCUGUACCUUUUGACAAUAAAAAGUGGUGAUUUAUAAUGA